ACCACCCUAGGUCAGGUGAGAUUACCUAUUGAGUUUAAGCAUAUCAAUAAGUGGUGGAAAAAAAACUUACCAGGAUUCCCCUAGUAAUGGCAAGCAAACUAGAAAGAGCCUAGCUUGAGAAUCAGGCACCCCUAGUAUCCGAAUUGUAGUCUAGAGAAGCAUCUUUAGUGGUAGACGAGGCCUAAGUCCCCUGGAAAGGGGCACCAAAAUAGGUAAGAGCCCUAUUGUGCCUAGACCCUAUCCCACAAUGAGGUGCAGUCUGUAAGUCAGGUUGCUUGGGAAUGCAACCCAAAUCGAGCAGUAAAUUUUAUCCAACGCUAAAUGCAGGUGAGUGACCAAUAGCAAAAAAGUACCAUAAAGGAAAGAUGAAAAGGUCUUUGAAAAGAGAUUUAAAUAGUGCUUGAAAUUGUUAUGAAGGAAGUAAAUGGGGGUUGGCUAUGCACUUUGGUUAGACAUGGAAUGGCGAGAGUCGGUCUGUAGAUCGACUCGAAGCAUGGACCAAUGCGGGUCAUGGUGGUGACCUAAGCCUAGGCUUUUGAUAUGCCUAUGAAGAUGUCAUUUUUGUAAUUGUGGAAUGCAACACAAGUCAUCUCAGUGUGCCUUGGCACUCGCAUGCUCCUGACAUUGGCCCGUAGGCUCCCCAUCCGGCCUAUCUUGAAACAUGAACCAAAGAGUCGGACAUGUGUGCAAGUCAACAAGCUAGAUAACCCAUAAGGUGCAAGAAAGCUAAUUGGUGAGAUCCCUCAUGAGUGCACCACUGACUGACCUUGAUCUUCUGAGAAGGGUUCGAGUGUAAGCAUGCCUAUUGGCACUGAAAAGAUGGUGAACUAUGCUCGAGUAGGGUAAAGUUAGAGAAAAAUCUAAUAGAGGCCUUCAGUGAUAUUAACAUGCAAAUCAUUCAUCUGACUAGGGUUUAAGGGUGAAAGACUAAUCAAACCAUCUAGUAGCUAGUUCCCUCUGAAGUUUACCUCAAGAUAGUAGGAGCCCUUAGCAAGUUCUAUCGGGUAAAGCCAAUUAUUAGAGGCAUCAAGGGUGCAAUGCCUUCAACAUACUCUCAAACUUUAAAUAGGUAGGAUGGUGCAACUACUUCAUUGAGUCGUGCCACAGAAUCGAGAGCUCUAAGUGGGCCAUUUUUGGUAAACAAAACUGGCAAUAAGGGAUGAACUAAAAGCUGAGUUAUGGUGCCCAACUGCAUGCUGACCUAGAACCCAUAAAGGGUGUUGGUUGAUUAAGAUAGUUGGAUAGGGUUCAUGAAAGUUGAAAUCCACUGAGUGUGUAACAACUUACUUAUCGAAUCAACUAGCCUAAAAAAUGGAUGGCAUUUAAAUGUGUGACCUAUAUGCAACUAUCAGAGUAAAGGCAAAUGCCAGGCCCCAAUGAGUAGAAGGGCAUGAUGGUCACUGCAAAGCCAGGGGCAUGAGCCCCAUGGAGUAGCCUCGGUGCAAAUCUUGGUGGUAGUAACAAAUAUUCAAAUAAGAACAUUAAAUGUUAAAAAGGGGAAAGGUUCCAUGUGAAUUGCACUUGCACAUGGGUUAGUCAAUCCUAAGAGAUGGGGGAAGCCUAUCCGAUAAUACGUCCAAUGUGAGCUUUAAAAGGGAAUUGAGGUAAAAUUCUUGAACUAGGAUGCAUAGGCUGACAGCAAUAUUAGGUAGUCUAAAGGUGUUGGAGAAAGCCUUGGGAAGAGUUAUCUUUUUUAUUUAUAGCCAGCCCACCCUAGAAAUGACUCAGCCAGAGGUAAGGUCUAGGAAUCGAAAGAGCAUCACAAGUCACAUGAUGUUUGGUGUACCCUCAGUGACCCUUGAAAAUCUAGAAGACUAAGUGCUCUCCAUGCCCGGUCAUAUUCAUAAUCGCAUCACUCUCCAAAGAGAACAACCUCUAGUCAAUGGAACAAUAUAGGCAAGGGAAGUCAGCAAAAUGGAUCCAUAACCUCAAGAAAUGGACUGGCUUUGAAGGCCAAGCAUGGGGUCAUAAUCCCAAACUCAUUGGCUAUUGAUGCACUACUCGAGCUACUCUCAUGGUAACAAUGGGUCGUUGUGUGUUGAUCAAGGAUGGACUUGGAAAGGCUUCCUUGAAGGCUUUCCCCAGGCAAUGAAUAGUCAACUUAGAAUUGAUACGGAUAAGGGGAAUCUAACUAUUUAAUUAAACAAAGCAUUACAAUGGUCCCUACAAAUACUUAUGUAAUGUGAUUUCUACCCAGUGCUCUAAAUGUCAAAGUGAAGAACUCAACGAAGUGAGGGUAAAUGACAGGACUAGCUAUGACUCUCUUAUGGUAGCCAAAUGCCUCGUCAUCUAAUUAGUGAGCACAUGAAUGGAUUAACACAAUUCCCAUUGUCCCUAUCUACUAUCCAAUGAAACCACAAUCAAAAGAAUGAGCUUGGCAGAAUCAACAGGGAAAGAAGACCCUAUUCAGCUUGACUUUAGUCCAACAUUUUGAAAUGAAUUGAGAGGUGUAGGAUAAGUGGGAACCCUAAGUCAAAAUUGAAAUACCACAACUUUUAACAUUAUUUUACUUAUUCAUGAAUCAGAGGUAGGGCAUAACCCCUUUUAUUUGGCCUAAGGCCAACCUUGAUCGAUCGAUUAGGGUAAAAGACAUUGUCAGGUGGGGAGUUUGGCUGGGGUAACACAUCUAUUAAAAGAUAAUGCAGGUGUCCUAAGAUGAGCUCAACGAGAAUAGAAAUCUUAUAUGGAACAAAAGGAUAAAAGCUUAUUUGAUUUUGAUUUCCAGUAGGAAUAAACUAUGAAAGUAUGGCUUGUUAAUCCUGUAGACCUUCAGAAUUUGAAGCUAGAGGUGUCAAAAAAGUUAUCAGAAGGAUAACUGGCUUAUGAUAGACAAGUGUUCAUAGUGAUGUUGCUUUUUGAUCCUUCAAUGUUGGCUCUUCCUAUCAUUGUGAAGCAAAAUUCACCAAGUGUUGGAUUGUUCACCCACCAAUAAGGAAUGUGACCUAGGUUUACACCAUCAUGAGAUAGGUUAGUUUUACCAUACUAAUGGUAGCAUCACAAAAAUAAUUCAACCUAAUACGAGAGGAAUCGUUGAUUCGUGCAUUUGGUUAUCCCACUUGGUUGAAAAGCUAGUGGCAUGAAGCUACCAUGCAUUUGAUUAUGAUUGAAUGCCUCUACAUUAGAAUCUAGGUUAGAAAGGACACAUGCAUCUAUUGCCCAACUAUCGACCAAUAGUAGAGGCCUAUGCCUUGAAGGGCACAUGUCAUAGGUGCACCUAUGACAUAGCAAACAAGCCAUAUGGGCCUCCUUGGAGCU
rnacentral:rRNA from 1 species